ensembl:lncRNA
UUUUUUUUUUUUUCUUUUUUUUUUUUUUUUUCAGUUCUUUGCCUUCUGGGAGGUUUUUUGGGGGGAAAGAAAUAAAAAAAUGUGACAGGACCCUCCCUCGAAAUGUUUAUUAAAACAAAACAAUAACAAAAGGCUACAGAUUCUAAAUUAAAUAUAAACAGCAAUAUUAACUUCUUUCUAGUUUGGGUGAAAAUAUGCACAAUUGCUUACAGUUAAAAUUUCCCAGAUGGCACUUCAGAACUUGUUAUUCUUUUGGCACUUCUUGUCACAAAGGCAAGAAAAAGAAAAUGGAUUUUUAUAAGCCCUCAAAAAGCAAAUUAUAUGGCACAGAUAGCACCCAUGCAUUCAAAUAUUUAAUCAUUUUACUCUCUGAAGUACAGGAAAGCAAAACCAAAUCAGUUUAGUAAAAUGGACUCCAAAACUAGUGGAAAUAUUUAUAUUUAUUAAUCAGCCAUUUUUUGGUUGCUUAAGAGUUCCUCCAUACAUUUCAUCACAGACUAGGGCCUCUUUCAGUUAUUACUGGCUAUUUCUCAAGCAAGAAAGUCUGAAAUAUUUUUCAAAAGCAGUUAUUAAUUUCUUGCAUAGUCUGAGGCUGAUGAAUUAGUGAGAUAUAUUUUAAACAGAAACCCUUUACUCGAAUAUUUGCAAAUGUAUAACAUGGCACUUCCCAGCAACUCUCUGUAACUUUUAAACUAUAGAUUGCUCAGCUCCAUGAAACUUCAUGUGGCCAGCUAAAGAAUCUAGAUUUUCCAUGGCUUAUUUUCCAAGACCAAUGCUACUAUAUCAGGAGUUGGUAACAGAAGAGUCUUUUCCACUUUUGAUAGUAACACCAUGGUUUUGACAGAUCUUUUUUGUUGGAACUUGAAGUCACUCAUUGCAAUAAAUUUAUAUCCAAACUUAAAGCCAAAGUUCUUGAUCCUGCACAUAUGGGCUUAAAAAAUAACAUUUUUCUGCUCCUUAGGACCUUCUGAUUUGGGUGCAAAGACAUACUGUUAGAGUUUUGAGACCUCCCAUGGGCAGAAAUUAUUAUCCUGUGUCACAACAUGAAGAAGAGUGCAAGUUUGAUCCAGGGUCCUGUAAAGAUAAUUUGUUUACUGCUGCUGCAAACUCCAUGUGAGUUUGGCUUAGGCCUACAUUUUCAGAAGUACCUAUCCUUCAGUUUUGUGGGAAAGUUAUUUUGAAGCAAUUAAAAUACACUUUUCAGGAGGCAGUGUGAUCCUAGCACUGAUCCUUAGGAAAUCAACCCCUUAACAAACAUUUCUAAUCAGAACUACUUGGGAGGGCAGCCAAAAUCCCAGUUACUUUAAAGAAUUUAUUCCUCUGUUUCUGCUUCCCAACAGCAUCUCUAAAACUAAGAUCUAAAUCAUAGUGUGUUUUAUUGAAAACACAUAAAUCAGAUGCAGGCAACUCAUAAGUCACGUAAGUAUUUGAAUAGACAACUAAGCCACAAGAACAUUCAGUUCUACACCCAAGUUACGCAAAGCUGAGCAGAAAUCCAAACCAGCUAUCUAUGGUUUCCCUGAGCUCUAAUUUUUGGGUUUUGUUGUUGAAUUAUGGUCCCUCUUAUAGUACAAAGAAUUGUGUUUUCUCCUUUUCUUCUGGCUGCACUGGGUGUUGAGUAGGGAUUAGAGUGGUUUUGGCUUCCCCUUACUAAAUUCCAUGAUAAAAAGUGGUGUUGAUUAAUAAUCAUCAGCUAUCUGCUCUAAAAGCACCAAGAAAAAAAAAUAAAGAACAUUAUCUCCUUCAAAGAAAGGAGAUAAUGAGGUACUUUUAUGUGUACCUUGUACUAAAACCAGAAGGAUAUUGUCUGCAUUCUGUUUUCACCUUUGAAGAGCUACUGUGAUGUAAAAAGCACAGCUUUUCUAAAGCACUUACUAACAGUGUAAUAGAGUGUGAAGCAGAAAAGUCCCUUCUAGUUUUGGGGCAAGCUUGCAAAGCUUUUUUUUCCCAAAAAAAUGAGGAAAGUAUGAAAUGAAUUUGUGUUUCUUCAUGUACUUUCAUUUUAAUUGGCAAUUCUAUUUUUAUGGUUAGGUCCAAGAAACAUAAAAUUAUCACAGUUACAUAGACAUUUACAUUGUGGCUACUAGUAGCACAAUGUAUAGAACUGACCACUGUAAAGAACAUAGGCCUAAAGUAACAUCCAGACCAAAAAACUGUGGGAAUUAGGAAUCAACAUUAGGAAGUCCUUUGGUUGAAAGUCAAGACCCUCUUCACCAGAAUUCAGCAACUCCUUCCCUAUUCAGUGAGUAUAUUGUGUAUCCAGACAAUCAUCUUUCUGGCUUUUUAUGGGAGUCACUUUGAUUGAGUUAUUCUGUCCUCCUAGUCCUGACCUCAUAGUAUACUAGAGUUACUUAUGCUGCAAAGACUGCAAUUGUGAAAUUCUUUAGCAUUGUGACUAUAGCUGCCUGUAAAAGCCUUGGCCUUUCAUGAGAGGACAAGUUUUGGGAUAGCUGUAGACUGUACCACUGGCAACUGAGGAGACCAAAACCAGGCUGAGGCAAUAACACGUCCCAUAAUAAUAAAGUUUUCUAUUAUGGCAUGUUGUUUUCCUAUGAUUUCAUUUUAAAAAGAUCUUAUCUUUUAGAG